AUUGAAGCUGGCGGCAGGCCUAACACAUGGAAGACAGGGGGUAACAGGGAGAAGCUUGCUUCUCUGCUGACGAGCGGCGGACGGGUGAGUAAUGUAUGGGGAUCUGCCUGAUGGCGGGGGAUAACUACUGGAAACGGUAGCUAAUACCGCAUAAUGUCUUCGGACCAAAGCGGGGGACCUUCGGGCCUCGCGCCAUCAGAUGAACCCAUAUGGGAUUAGCUAGUAGGUGAGGUAACGGCUUACCUAGGCGACGAUCCCUAGCUGGUCUGAGAGGAUGAUCAGCCACACUGGGACUGAGACACGGCCCAGACUCCUACGGGAGGCAGCAGUGGGGAAUAUUGCACAAUGGGCGCAAGCCUGAUGCAGCCAUGCCGCGUGUAUGAAGAAGGCCUUCGGGUUGUAAAGUACUUUCGGUGGUGAGGAAGGUUGUAAUGUUAAUAGCAUUAUAAUUUGGCGUUAGCCACAGAAGAAGCACCGGCUAACUCCGUGCCAGCAGCCGCGGUAAUACGGAGGGUGCGAGCGUUAAUCGGAAUAACUGGGCGUAAAGGGCACGCAGGCGGAUACUUAAGUGAGGUGUGAAAGCCCUGGGCUUAACCUAGGAAUUGCAUUUCAUACUGGGUAUCUAGAGUAUUUUAGGGAGGGGUAGAAUUCCACGUGUAGCGGUGAAAUGCGUAGAGAUGUGGAGGAAUACCGAAGGCGAAAGCAGCCCCUUGGGGGAAUACUGACGCUCAUGUGCGAAAGCGUGGGGAGCAAACAGG
rnacentral:rRNA from 1 species